GGGCUGUGCCCGUGCCUGGCGCUGGGGAGAAGCCGCGCGGUGCCUCCUGCGGGAGGCUGGGCCCGGAGGGGCUCCCGCGGACCUACUGCCACGCCACUAGGGCUAAAGCUCAGCACAACAGUAAAAUUGCGAGAGCAUAGCCUGGUUCAGCUUUUAAGCACUGCAGGGGGCUGUAAGGAUACCUAAGCUGCACAUAAUCUUGCAAAGUAGGAAACAGCUGAUUUUAAGGUAAGCAAGAAUGAGUUAAAGUUUAAAGAAACACUGAUUCAAGUCCAUUCUUACCUAAUGCAACUACUUGAUAGAGCAGGCAUAAUGUAGCCAACUAUAAGUAAAUCCUGCCACCUCGGAUUCGAGUAAGCUGCCCAGGGUAAUUAAGACAAAGUGUUUAAGAGCAAUGGUCCUUGUAAUACUUAGAAGAUCAAAGAAUCAAGUAGAUAAGAUAGAAAUGAGUACAAAUUAUUUUGAAUCUUUACUAAUACAACUCCAUUUCUGAAAUCUUUUCUUUGCUGCUUAAAAUGUAAAAUCCUCUCUUAGAAAUGAAUGUGACAGUUCUUGUCACAGUUCUGCAGACGCUGGAUGUAGCGCAUGGCUGCGCAUGGAUUUUGGAGACAUCCAUGGUGGGAAAAUACUGCAUCCCUCAUGCAGUCUCCGGUUACCAAGGCAAACGCAGUUAAGGCACAAAAAGCAAAAUGAGUAAACUGUUCUUCAUGAGCAACCACUGCAUUCUCAGCUGCACUUCAUUUGCUGGAAACCUCCUCCACUUAUCACUGCACUUUCAGAUGUUCACAGACCUACAGCCUUUACCGACAUCUCCAGCUGCUGGACUUCCAGGCCUUGAGAUGCCAUAUGUUGGGUCUUGUGACAGAAGAGUUCAUAAUCCACCGGAGCAAGGCUGACCCGUGAGCAGACACGGGUGCACGCAGGGAAGGGCUGCUCCAGCAGACAUGGAUGCACACCUGGAAGGGCUGCUGCAGCACUGCUCCCGUGAGCACAGGGCUGUGGUAGGGAAGCAGCUAGGCGGGGCUGUGAUUGCCCUCCUUUCCCAGCAGCUUCUGUACCCAUCUCAGCUGGCUGAUGGUUGUAGGCCAGAGUAACAUGCGUCUGGUGAGUGGGAUACUGGAAAAAUGCUGCAACCCCUCCCUUUUAUGGGUCUGAGUAUGGAUCUAGAGGCUUAACAUUAGGUGGCCAAAUUUAUGAUGUGUUGUAUAGGUGCAGUGUUAUGUAACUGGGGAGGAAAUUACAGUGCAAGUAAUGCACUGUAUUAAUUUAGGACUAGUUAACAGCAACUAAUUUAAAACAAUUAUAUGGACAGGCAGACAUCAGCUAUAGCAUUUAUAUAGAUGCAAAGACAUCUGCCUCAGUGCAGAGGUUACCCUUUUAAAAGUAGGAAGAUUCCAAGUUUAUGAAAGAUGGGGUGGGGAGUGUUAGUGUUAUUUGUAAUGGUAUUGUCAGUGUUUCUUGUCUCAAGUUCUUAGAAAAUCCUUCAGACAAUGGAGAAGAUGGAAGAGUUGACUCUAAGCAAUUCCAGGUACCUUAAAGCUAACAGGAAGGGCCCCUCAGCGCUGCUUUCCAGCCUUUGGUGGCCCAGGGUUGGAAUUAAAUGUGCAGAAGUUUACCCUAAACAAACUUGCUGCAGGGCUUAAACAUGCACAGUUGGACUUUUCUGAAUAAAGUCACCAUUCAUGUUAAUGUUUUUGUUAAAAUAAUGACAAGCAUUUUCCUUUUCCUCGAAGGAAAUUUGAAUCCAUGACCUGCAGUAACAGGUAUUUCUAAUGCUCGAUACAUCAAAAUGGUUCUGCCAGCCCUCUGCCCAACAGCGCACAAAGUACAGCUUUGCAGGCCUCCGUCCUUCUCGGUCCCAGCACAUCUCAAAUUCUCUUCCCAGGCACUAAGUCUCCAUGAACUCUACUUUAGCCUUUGAUAACUGUUUAUUUUACCUUAAGACAAAACGAAGGCAGGAGCAGAAAAGAGAAGCUAAGGUAGAGAAAAUUUAACUCCCACAUGCUGGUGCUGUUGGUAUCCCUGCAGUGAUCCAGAUGCUCUCAUGCCAGCCAAGCAGCCUCUGCAAUGCCUGCAAUGACAUCUUAGAUUGCGGCAGAGGCAAAAGGACGGAUUUAAUCAAUGACAGCAGCACUGCAGUCUGUCCUUACACUAUGAAACACAGGCUCCCAGCCCUGGUUUGCAUAUAUUCAGUGCUAGCCAGGAGCUUUAAAAGUGUGAAAAUUUAGGGCUACUAAAAAUCCACCUUGUGUGUUCUGAACAACCUCCCUGGUUACUGUUUUUCCCCCAAACAUUGGAAUAUUCUAUUUCCCUAACUACAGUUUUGCUCUGGGCUUUUUCAUUUAAAUGGCUGUAGUCUUAUAUUACUUGUCAGCUUCAGGAGACAAUCACACGUGCAACAUUUUUGUCCUGUCAGCUGGUAGUGGUUUUCAAAACAGGAUGCCUAUUUUUCCCCCCAUUAUUUGCAACAGUAAGACACAGAAGUCUGAGCUUUUGUUUUCAGUUGGUUAUGCAGGUUCAACCUGGUGAAUCAUUCUUCCUGCAGCUACAUUUCCAGGAAAAGACAAAGGCCUGGCUCUUCUCCAAGUUAUCCAAGUCGGAUCAGAAAGCACUCCUUCUCCCACAUCUGGGACACUUUCUAAGAAGGGAGAAAUUGAUAAAACACAUCCCAGAGCUGGUGUCAUCACCCUGCAGACAGGCAAGGAGGCGCAUGGCCUUGGAAAGGCAUGUGCAGUACUAAGUCAGGGUGAAGAUAAUAGCAGAGUUUACUGGAUUUAAGAUUCUUGGCCCUGUGAAACACAACCAAGCAUGUGCAAGGAGCCAUUCUCCAUUUCUGGGACUGAUGGUUACUGUGAAGCUGGAUGGUUUCCGGAAAAUCCUACAAUUUAAUUUCAAGCAUUUUAGACUCUCAUCUUGUUGCAGUUGGUGUGGACAAGAACAUAGCUUUGGAGUUGGGAAUUUUUCAAGAUCUGUUAUUCGGAUAGAAGCUGGUAACUAUGGUUUCAGACGUCUCCUCUCAGGGAUACUGCUGCUCGCAAAUGAAGGGAGGCCUGGUUUUUCAUGAUGAGGCAAAGGGCUACGGGCUUGUGUGGUUGUGAAUGCAAGCACUGAGCUUUCAGAGAGGGAGUUAAAUAAAAACAUGCAUAAAUCUGCCUACAAGUAACCAUUGCAGGAAAUGUGAAGACUUGUCUGAGAAGUGGAGUUCCUUUGAAUGCAUGCAGACAGCGGCUCAUGUACUGGGCAAAUGGGCCAAGUGAAGAGACAGAAUUACUUUACCUUUAAGCCCACAAGCCAAAACGCAGCUGGUAGCACUAAUAUUAGUCUUGUCAAGCAUGGCAGUCUUCAUUUGUUAUGCAU